UAAACAUUUUUAGUUAUUGCAUUUAACAAGUGUAUUCAUUUUAAAAUUAAAUAUAAGUCAAUCACUAUAUUACAAUUAUAGUAAUAGAGCAAGAUCCCAGGGGCCUUUAAUAAAAAUUACUUCCACCGCCAACAAAGUUAAGAUGAGAAUUAUGUUUAUUUCUUAUUAUCAAAUUGCGAGAACUUCAUGGUGACUAUUUAUUACUAAGAUAUAAAAGAUAUGUCGAAAUAGUAGCAGUAACAAAACGAAAAACUAUUUUGUUCUAAAUGAGUUCUCAGGACAAUUUCAAGGACAUAAAGCCAAUCACAAACAAGAGGAAAAUCGAAAAGUUGGCUCCACAUUCCAGGACCAUCGUCAUUACCUAUUAUUGGUCAAUUUCAUCAUUUCCUUCCGGGAAGUCCUCUUUAUGAAUGUAGUAGUUUUGAUUUUCAAAACCACUUGUAUUCAAACUACGGACCCACAGUAAAACUAUAUAAACUGCUGGGACGGGAGCCCAUAAUCUUCAUUUUCGACGCAGAAGCUUCGGCGCAAGUACUCCGACGAGAAAAUUGGCUGCCUAAUCGCCCAGGAUUUCCGUCGCUCGAAUAUAACAGAAAACAUUAUAGCAAACAAAGGAGAGACCUAUCAAAACCAGCUGGCCUUGU